CCGGUGAGAGAGAGCGAUGGGGCGUUUCUUGCGCCACUUGUCCUUCUGGCCCCUCGGUCCAGCAUUUCACUGAGGUCCCUCGAGGUCGAAGACAAGUCCCUGCGUGCGCAGUCUCUCAUUUCUUGCCAAUUUGGGGAGGUUACAAUCAAAUGACUAGGAAAAGAUCUUGGGUUCCAGACCAGGAAUCAGGCCGCCUGUUGUGAUUCCCACCUGCUUCUUUCUGCUGGGACUCGCCGCGGACCUCCCUGAGUCUCCUUUUCCCGAGUUCAUUCAGUCGGUAGUUCCCGGGAGCCUGUUCAGCCAAUACACAGUUCCUUGGAGCCAGCUCUGCGCUCAGCACCGAGCGGUCCCUGGAAAAGCAAUGGUGAGCGGAGAAGAUACCUAGGUCCCCGUUUUGGAAUGCGAGUUACAGGGGAAGACAGCACAUCCCUACUCAGACGCAAAUAGGAAAGGCCAAAAGUCUGAAUUUUUAUGUGAAAUUACCCAAUUUUGAAAACUCCAUGGACCAAAUAAAACCCUAUUUGUGACCUCUGAAACAAGGAGAUCAAGAUCAGAUUCAGGUAUACAUGGAAGUUUAACAUGAGCAAUGAUGGGGACAUCGAAUACCCUGGUUCUGAAACGUGAGCUUACACCAGAAUCACCUGGCCAAGUUGCUUCAGUUGUGUCCACUUCUUUGUGACCCUAUGGACUGUAGCCCUCCAGGCUCUUCUGUCCAUGGGAUUCUCCAGGCAAGAAUACUGGAGUGGGUUGCCGUUUCCUCCUCCAGAAACAAAGAAAGUGAAGUCACUCAGUCGUGUCCGACUUUUUGAGACCCUGUGGACUGUAGCCUACCAGGCUCCUCCGUCCAUGGGGGAAUGGGAUUCUUCCUUCUCCAGGGGAUCUUCCCGGUCCAGGGAUCGAACCCAGGUCUCCAGCAUUGGAGGCAGAUGCUUUAACCUCUGAGCCACCAGGGAAGCCCAGGAUCUUCCCCAAUCAGGGAUCAAACUCUUACCUCUCCUGUAUUGGUAGGCAGGUUCUUUACCACUAGCACCACCUGGGAAUCAGCUGGAAGGCUUGUUAAAACAUACUGCUGGCCCUCCCUUUUCUGAAUCAGAAGUUCUGGGGUGGAGCCCAGGGGUUUGCGUUUGUAACAAGUUCUCUGGUGAUGCUGCUGCUUCUGCACUAGGGGCCACACUUGAAAACCAUGGAACCAGUGGCAAGUAUUAGGUUGGUACAGAAGUAAUUGCAGUUUCAGACCAUGAAUUUUAAAUCAUUAUAACGAGGAUCGGCUUCAAUGAUUGCUGUCAGUUGGACGUUGUCAAUUUCCAACGACUGGCCACCACGCUCCUCAGCUUUAAGGCUCUUGUCUCCUUUGCAAAACUUCUUGAACCACCACUGCACUGUACAGUUGUUAGCAGUUUCUGGGCCAAAUCCAUUGUUGAUGUAGCGAGUUGUCUCCACUGCUUUAUGACCCAUUUUGAACUCGAAUAAAAAAGAUCGCUCAAAUUUGCUUUUUGUCUAACAUCAUUUCUAUAGUCCAAAAUAAAUAUAAAAUAAACAGUAAGUAAUGUCAUUAGCAAAAAAACAUAAAGUGAGAAAUGCAAUUAAAAUGAUGUAUAACAUAACCACAUUUAAGAAUGUAUUCUAAUACCAAACAGCAAAGUUCAACAGUGCAAAACCGCAAUUACCUUUGCACCAACCUAAUAUAUUGAAAUUUUGCUUGCCAUUGCAGUAAUAUCAUUUGCAAUGCUUGGAUAGGCUUGAAAUGUUGGACUGGGUUUCCCAAGAACUUUCUAAUUUAAUUCACUAAGAACGUUAAAAAAUAUAUCAGUCAAAUAGGCCAACAUUGUUAUUCCAAAAAAACAACUUUGUAGAGAUUUUCCAAAUGAGAUUGCUUUUUGCCUAGAAAAAUAGGCAUUUUAUUCUUGUAUUCUUGUAAUGUGCUUUGGACUUUCCCUUAAGACCACCAACUAACUCUGAUAUGAUAAAAUAAGUGGUAGGUCACCUCUAAUCCCUGAAGAAUUUUUUUCCAAAAAUUGGCUAUUUUGUUGACUUCCUUUAAUAAAAUGAAUAACUUCCACUGUUUCUGCCCAACAUACACAUGAAUUUCAGCAAAAUUUGUUUUCCAAAGAUUUACAACCUAUAAGAGUAUGCCAAGUAACAUUGUUUUCAGAUGCUGCUAACAUUUUUAAAAUACCUUUGUCAUAUUUUAAUUUUUCCAGACUAAUUUAUAUUGACCCAAAUUGCACUUGUCAAUUUUGUAAACAUUUUUAAUCCAGUUUUGUGUGAGGAGAAUAACUAAAUACAUAACAAGACCCUCCUUAAAAUGGCCUUACCACUCAUCUCAGGCAUAAACUAAGCAUUGUGCAAUAUCCAACUUGUCUUUCUCAAGUUAGAUCACAAAAUUGAUACCAUAAUUAACUACUUCUAAAAUUCUGCAAAGACUCAAGGAGAAAUCAUAUUAUUGCUAAGACUAUGUUUAUUGAUUUACCAUAAAAACAGUACACACCAAAAAAUAUACCAGAAGACUAAAAACCUUUAGCACAGGGAAGGAAAGCAUCAACAAAACGAAAAGGCUACCUACUGAGUGGGAGAAGGUAUUUGCAAAUUUCAUAUCCAGUAAGAGGUUAAUAUCCAAAAGAGACAAAGAAUUUACACAACUUAACAUCAAAAACAAAACAAACAAACAAACAAAAAAACCUAAGUAACUCAAUUAAAAAAACAGGCAGAGGAUCCAAAUAGACAUUUUUCCAAAGACGGCCAACAGGCACAUGAAAAGAUGCUCAACAUCACUGAUCAACAGGGAAACACAAAUCAAAACCACAAUGAGAUAUCACCUCUCACCUGUCAGAUGGCUAUUAUCAAAAAGACAACAGAUAACAAACGUAGGUGAAGAUGUGGAGAAAAAAGAACCCUGUUGCACUACUGGUGGAAAUGUGAGCUGGUGCAGCCACUAUGGAAAACAGUAGAGAUUCCUCAAAAAAGUUAAAAAUAGAACUACUAUACAAUUCAGCAAUUUCACUCCUGGGUAUCUAUCCAAAGAAAAUAAAAACACUAAUUAAAAAAGAUAUGCACUCCUGUGGUCACUGCAGCAUUAUUUACAACAGCCAAGAUAUGGAAGCAACCUAAGUGCCCAUCAAUAGCUGAAUGGAUAGAGUAUGUGGUAUAAAUAUAUAUUAGCAGACCCUGGUGGCUCAGAGGAUAAAGCGUCUGCCUGCAAUGCGGGAGACCCAGGUUCAAUCCUUGGGUGGGGAAGAUCCCCUAGAGAAGGAAAUGGCAACCCACUCCAGUAUUCUUGCCUGGAGAAUCCCAUGGACAGAGGAGCCUGGCGGGCUAAAGUCCAUGGGGUCACAAAGAGUUGGACAUGACUGAGCAAUAUUUGGAAAAAUUGACAUUUUUCCAAAGAAGACAUACAGAUGGCCAACAGGCACAUGAAAAGAUGCUCAACAUCACUGAUCAACAGGGAAACGCAAAUCAAAACCACAAUGAGAUAUCACCUCUCACCUGUCAGAUGGCUAUUAUCAAAAAGACAACAGAUAACAAACGUAGGUGAAGAUAUGGUGAAAAGAGAACCCUGUUGCACUACUGGUGGAAAUGUGAGUUGGUGCAGCCACUAUGGAAAACAGUAUAGAUUCCAUAUAAUUAUGGUAUCAAUUUCCCAAAUAUAUAUUACUCAGCCACAAAAAAGAAUGAAAUAUUGCCAUUUAUGACAACUUGGAUGAAUACCUAGAAGGUAUUAUGCUAAGUGAAGUAAGUCAGAGAAAGAAAAAUGCUCUAUGAUUUUACUUAUAUGUGGAAUCUAAAAACUGAAACAAAGGAACAUAGCAAAACAGAAACAGUGAUAGAUACAAGGAGAACAAACAGGUGGUUGCAGACUCAGGGAUGGGGGGAGGAAAGAGAUGAAGGAGAUUGAGAGUUACAUAAUUCAAGUUACAAAAGAAAUGAGUCAAGGGUAUGAAAUGUCCAGUGUGGGGAAUAUAGCCAAUAAUUACAGGAACUUCCCCAGCAGUCCAGUGGUUAAGACGUUGUGCUUCAAAUGCAGGAGACACAGGUUCAAUCCCUGGUCCGGGAACUAAGAGCCCGCAUGCUGCGCAGCAAGGCCAAAAUAAGUUCUUUAAUAAAAUAAAUAAUUAUGUAAGGUCUCUUACAGGGACAGACUGUAACUAGACUUAUUGAGGUAAUCAUUUUGCAAUGUCUAAAAAUAUCGAAUUACUAUGUUGUGUAACAGAAACUAACACAGUGUACACAGGUCAGUUGUACUUCAAAAAGAAACUCAGAAAAAGAGAUCAGAUUUAUGGUUACUAGAGGCAGGGGGAGGGGACUGGGAAUUGGAUGAAAGUAGUCAAGAGGUAUUAAUUUUCAGUUAUAAGAUAGAUAGAUACUAGGGAUUUAAUGUACAACAUAAUAAAUAUAAUACUGCUAUAUAUAUGAAAGUUAAGAGAAUAAAUCAUAAGAGUUCUCGUCAUGAAGAAACAUUUUUUUCUAUUUAAUUUUGUAUGUAUAUGAGAUGAUGGAUGUUCACUAAACUUACUGUGAAAAUCAUUUCAUAAUGUUAUGUAAAUCAAAUCAUUAUUUACAUGUGUGUCAAUUUAUAUCUCAAUAAAACUGGAAGAAAAACAAAAGCAAAAUAUAUAUAUACCAGAAGAACAGUUUCUUAUUUUUUCAGGAGCCUUGUGAGCAGUUUUCCCUUUUGGCACCGAAUAUACAAUCCAAUACAAUGAUAAUAAGGAUUUCUCAUUGAUAGCUACAUCAUGGCUCAGAAAAAUCUGUCCCAUCAUAUUAUAUAUACUUUUCUUUUUUUGAAAAUAUUCAAGGGACUGAUUCAACAUGUCAUGUUUCCAAGUAUCUUUUUAAUAUUGCUGGCUUAUUGAUGCUUUCAUUGGCAAGAGUAUCAUUACAAAUAAUGCAUUAGUAUAUGUCACUUUUGGUUUUGCACAUUUGAUAAAGUCUUUUAAAACACUGUCUUACUAAACUUAUCCUUUUUUUUUUGGCUGUGCUGGGUCUUGCUUGAAGUGUGGGCUUUUCUCUAGCUGCAGAGAGUGGGGGCUACUCUCUAGAUGCGGUGAAAGGGCUUCUUAUUGCGGUGGCUUCUCUUGUGGAGCACCAGCUCUAGGGCAUGCGGGCUUCAGUGGUUGUGGCGCAAGGGCUCAGUAGUUGCAGCUUCCCGGCUCCAGAGUACAGGAUCAGUAGUUGUGGCACACAGGUUUAGUUGCUCCAAGGCAUGUGGGAUCUUCUCAGACCAGGGAUCCAACCCACGUCUCCUACACUGGCAAGUGGAUUGUUUACCACUGAGCCACCACGGAAGUCCCUACCCUUUCUUCUUGCUGCUGCUGCAGCUGCUAAGUCACUGCAGUCGUGUCCAACUCUAUGCGACCCCAUAGACGGCAGCCCACCAGGCUCUGCUAUCCCUGGGACUCUCCAGGCAAGAAUACUGGAGUGGGUUGCCAUUUCCUUCUCCAAUCCGUUCUUCUUAAUGAGGCACAAAUAAAGCCAUUGUCUGCUAACUAAUGUUAAGUACUUCCCCCAAUAUCACUAUUCAUUCUUCCUAUAUUUUCACCUUCUCAUUCUCAAUUUUUGUAGCAUGAAAACAGUCCAUUUAAGGACAAUUUGAACUAUUUCAAUAAAAAUGCUACAUUUUUCACACAUUCAAGAUAUUCCUGAUUAUGAACCGUCUGAAAAAACCACACUGCAAAUUCCUAACCAAAACUCAGUUGAAAGUCAUGGCAAUGUUGCCAAAAAUGAAUAAAAUUCUCCCACGCUUUCAUUCAGAACUAACUUCAAAUUAGUUUGUGGUAUCUUGUUAUAGCAGCCCAGACUAAGACACCAUGUCCUAGUGGGCAUGAAGUGGUAUCUCAUUGUGGUUUUGAUUUGCAUUUCCUUAACGACUAAUGAUAUUAAAUAUCUUUUCAAGUGCUUGUUGGCCAUCUGUAUACUUCUUUGGAGAAAUGUCUAUCUCCUUUGCCCAGUUUUUUUAUUGCAUUGUCUUCAUUGUUGAGUUUUAAAAGUUCUUUAUAUAUUCCAGAUAUGAAACCCUCACCAGCUAUUUGAUUUGCAAAUAUUUUCUCCCGUUCUGUAGGCUGUCUUUUCUUAUAGUGUCCUUUGAAGCACAAAGUUUUUAAUUUUUAGAAAAUCCAAUUUAUCUGUUUUUCUUUGUUUACAUGUGCUUUAAGGUGUCUUCUAAGAAGCCACUGCCUAAUCCAAGGUCACAAAAAUUUAUGUUUUCUCCAAAGAAUUUUAUAGUUUUAGCUCCUAUUUAGGUCUUUGAUUCAUAGAGUUUGUUUUUUAUAUGGUGUUAAAUAGUGGUACAAAAUCUUUCUUAUGCAAGUAGAUAUCCAGUUGUGCCAGCAUAAUUUGUUAAAAAUGUUCCUCAUUGGAUUGCCUUGGCACCUUUUUCAAAAAUCAAUUGACCAUGAAGGUUUAUUUCUGCAUUCUCAGUUCUAUUCCAUGAAUUUGUAUGUCUACCCUUAUGCCAGCACCACACUUUCUUGAUUAUUGUCUCUUUGUAGUAAGUUUUAAAAUCAUUAUGAGUGAAUCCUCCAGCUUUGUUCUUUUUUCAGAUUGUAUUGACUAUUCCAGGUCCCUUGCCUUUCUAUAUGACUUUUAAGAUCAGCUUGUCCAAUUCUCUAAAAAAGGCAACUGAGUUUUGAUAGAGAUUCCAUUGAAUCUGUAGACUAAUUUUGGUACAAAUGCCAUCUUAACAAUAUUAUGUCUUUUAACCCAUGAAGAUGGAAAUAUUUUCCCAUUUACUUAGGUCUUGAAACGUUUAACAAUGUUUUAUAGUUUUCAGUGUACAAAUCUUCUUGUAUUUUUGUUAAAUUUACUCCCAAAUAAUUUAUUCUCUUUUAUGCUGUUAUAAGUGGAAAUGUUUAAUUUCAUUUCUAUAUUGUUAAUUGCAAAUGCACAGAAGUAAAUUGAUUUUUGUAUAUUGAUUUUAUAUCCUGCAACCUUGUUAAUCUAAUGUUUUUCUCUUAUUUGGGAGAGGUAUAAAAAGAAUGAUUAACUUUAGACUUUAAAUUAAAAACAUGUACCAGUCGGAAUGGUCUCUAGAUAUAACAGUUAGGCACCUGACAGGAAACAUACAGCUCACUCAAAUUAGAAAGAUGAGAGGAGGGUUUAGUAAAAAGACUAUUUACAAAGGUAUAUUACACAUAUACAUAUAUAUACAUAUAUAUAAAAUAUAUAUACAUAUAUUUACAAAGGGCAGAGUAUAAGAGAACCUCAAGGGAUAGCGUAGUAAUCUGGGGCUAGUACUAGCAUAGCCAUUACCAUACCUAGCCUGAAAGAAUAAGGGAACGGAAAGGUUAUCAUUGCCUGAAAAGAAGUUGAGAGAAACAGUGACCUUCAAUUGAGAGACUAGCUAGCCUGAAGCACCCCCGCUGGAAGAAAGUCAUGGGAAUAAAUAUCAUGACCUCAUUCAACUUCCUUUCCCCAAUCUACUGCCCAGACACCCCACUGACUGAACCCACGUAGAAGCCAGGGAAAGAGUGAACCUAUUGGUGUAGUUCAUACAGGACCACAAGAGUAGAGAACAAUCCACCCUCAUGGGGGAGAGAAGGUGGAGAGGACAUCCAGAGGAGCAAAUGGAAGAUACCCUCACACGAGGUUAUGUCACAGUGAUAGACCACCGCAUCAGAAUCACUCAAAGAAAGUAUGAGGUAAACAAUAAAAAAUACUGAAUCACUAUGUUGUACACUUGAAACUAGUAUCAUACUGGAAAUUACAUUUCAAUAAAAAAUAAAGUACCUGAUUAGUAAUAAAAUGUGAAAGAACUUUUAAAACAGAAAAUAAAAGUCAACAUUAGGAUAGUAGAAAAUAAACAUAACAAUUGACAGAAACAACCAAGUCAAAAGUUUGUUCUUGAAAAAUGAAUAAUAAAAUUUAAAAUCUCUGGCAAGAUUAAUCAAGGCGUAGGUAAGUAGUAUUAGGGAUAAGAAAGAACAACUUUAUGCUAAUAAAUUCCUGAAAAAUACAAUUUUCUUUGGUGAUCACUUUGUGAUGUAUAAAAAUAUCAAAUCAUUAUGUGGUACUCCUAAAAAUAUUAAAUAUCUCUGUUGUACGCCUAAAUAGUAUAAUAUUAUAAGUCAAUUAUACUUUAAUUUAAAAAAUGCCACUCUGUAAAUUGGGGAAGAAAAUAGGAUUUAGGAAAGGACUUUCCUUCUUCUCUGGUCUAGAAUCCAGUAUGUUGUCUGAUGAUCAAGGGUAUCCCAGAGUGUGGGGUGAGUUAGCCUUGGCCACAAAGAAGCUCUGAAUAAUGAGUGGGGUGGGUUGUGGUUCUAUGAGCAGCCAUAGCUAAUGGUAGUUAUUAGUUUCUAGAUGCUGUCAUUUCCCCAACUUUCAGUCAGAUCUUAUUAAAAGUUCAUACACGAGAGGAGGGAUCGGGAUGGGGAAUAUGUGUAAAUCUAUGGCUGAUUCAUAUCAAUGUAUGACAAAAAAAAAUAAUAAUAAUAAUUAAAAAAAAAUAAAAACAAACAAAAAAACAAACAAACAAAAAAGCCUGUAUUAAAAAAAAUAUAUAUAGAAUUUUAAAACAAAAAAAAAAAAAAGUUCAUACACCAUGAUGAAGUGGAAUUUAUCCCAGAAAUGGCUCAAUAUCCAUAAAUCAGUGUGAUACACAUAUUAACAAAUUGAAAAAUAGAACCAUAUGAUGAUCUCAAUAGAUAUGGGAAAAGUGUUUGACAAAAUUCAACACCUAUCUGGCUGCUCUCACUCUCUAAGACUGCCCACAAUCUGUCUGUGGGGUGUGUUUCUCCCAGGGCUUCUCUCACCUUUUGAGAUGGACUGUAUCCUGUCUAUAGAGUGUGUAUCUCUUUCACUUUAUGGUUCACUCUUGAAUUCUUUCCUGUGUGAAGCCAAGGACCUCACUUGGUGGCCUGUUCCAGGAACUUACCUGAGACCUAGGACAUGACCACCCUCUUGUGCAUCAUUUUCCUGAAACAUCUUUACAAAGGAAGAGGAAUAAGGUGGUCUUCUCCCCCUCCCCACUUCUCCUUAGAUUAUAAAAAUGUGGCCCACUUAGUUCUUGGGGUAGAGCCCUCUUGCCUAUCUGUAUCCUUCAUAGGGUCCUAUAUUAAUAAGUCUAUUUCUUGCCUAUCAAAAAAAAUUCAACAUCCACUCAUGACAAAGACUCUUAACAAAGUGGGUAUAGAUAGAACAUAUCUCAACAUAAUAAAGGCUAUAUAUGACAAAUCUACCAUCAAUAUCAUAUUCAAUGAUGAAAAGCUGAAAGCAUUUCCUCUAAGAUAAGGAAAAAGGCAAGGAUGCCCGCUCUCGCCACUUUUAUUCAACAUAGUAUCAGAAGUUCUAGCCACAGCAAUCAGACAACCAAACAAAAGGAAUA